rnacentral:lncRNA from 1 species
CUCACAAUGGCCAGCUUUGUUCCUGCAUGGGUUUGAGGAACACAAACUCUGCUAUGUCCACCAGCACCCUGUGGCCCAGGACCUGCCAUCAUCUUCAACAGGAACCAAGGAAAGCCGAUUCAUUACAAUGCUGGCUAAUACCCACAGGAACACUGAACUCCACUGUGUGGGAGCUUGAGGGGCCUGUGCUGCCCAUGCCGAGUGUCCACCAUCUCACACUGCUUCUAACACCUUCAAGCCAUCUCCUGAAUCUGGAAUAGUCAUCAUGAGCUGGAGGCUUCCUCAGAAGAACCCUAAAAUCAAGGGGGAUUCUGGUGCCAAGAAAAAUAGCCCAACCCAGCUUCACAGCUGUGAGCCUCCAAUGCGCCCCAGGAAGCUGCCAUCACCAUGGGUAGCGCGACCUGGCUUGAUUUUGCCAAAACAAAGGAAAAUUCCUCCAGCAAUUUCUGUGAAUUUGUUUUGCAAAACUGAAUUGUCUGCUUUUAAUUCCCCUAUACCAAUUAA